rnacentral:misc_RNA from 1 species
UGCACAAUAUUUUUGAUACCCAGGUAAGUGACUAGUGGAACUUAUUUAUGGAACUGCUAUUUAGUUUAUUAUAUAAUUAUUUUAUCAAUGCUGUUUCUUUCCUGACCAGCUGAGUACGCAUAUGAAAUAGAGUAUUGGAGUGUGUCGAUUAUCGGCCUUAUCUGGAACUUGGUUGUUCAACAUGGGAUGAUUUUUAGUACUUAUGUGAGCUUGAGCACAUGUUCUUAGAAUUAAAAAUAGUAUUACCAGUCACGUAAAAAUAUUUAUGUUUUAUUUUUGUCUUUUUCUGUUGAUUAUCCUUGGAUGCAUGGCCAGAUUUAGGCAGCAAAUAAGUCUUAUCUAGAAAUUGUUUUAACAAGGGCUGAUCUUCAAUUAAUGCUUUGACAUUGAUGUCUCUGAGACUUUUUGAGAACAAUUGCUAAAUUAUAUGUCAAUUAUCGUCCUUGUAUAGUUAUACUUAUAAUGGUAAUGAAUAUUGUUGCUUUAGAGCUGUCAUUUGACGUGCAUGCAUGUUUAUCACUUUGUUUGCAUGUAGAUUGCUUAUUCUCUGAUAGAGGAGCAAGAAGGACGGACUAGAUUGCCGGAUGACUAUAUAUCUUUUGUUGGCCUCCUUGCAGAUCCACGCUAUUGUGGUAUUUUAUAUGCCGUGGUAUCCAUUUGAAAUUUUUUUGAGGACGUGUAACUUUAUGCUAGUUGCUGGACUAUUCGGAGUUCAUACAAAUUUGUUUGAUACUCACUGAAGGUCUUUGAUGAAUCUUUCUGUAAAUUUGUCCUAAGUGUUUGUAGCAUUGCCUUGAAGCCUUUCUUUUCGUGUAGUUGUAUAAGUAUGGCUUGAUUUCAUACAGUUUACUUGCACCGCUAAUGGCUGUGCUGUUUAAGAUUAAUCACUCCCUGGGAGACCUCACCUGACUGAGAAGUGGUUUAGAAAAAAUAGGGAACAGGACUUGUGGAAUUUUUUCAAUGCACUUGAAUUUGAAUUGAGAGGGAUUAUGGGAUUAAAACUCUUUUCAAUUGAGUAGUAUUUUCUAGAUAGGAGUUUCAGAGUGGAAAAAUGACUCCUGUAAAAGCCCCUAUCUUUAUAUACGUCCAACAGCAUUUAGUUUUAUGAUGUAUGUUAGUCAUAUUUUCCUUUUUCCAAGGAGUGUUGGGGAGGUAUCUAUAGCCCAAAAAUAUGUUCAUGCUACAAAAUUAAUAUUCUUCAUCUAUCCAUUGAUCCGGGAUUCCUUAGCAUGUCUGUGCUUCAAUUAAAUUAGAUUCUCUAUUGUUGACUUCUUAAGAUGAAGAUUCUAUCUUUUUUUUUUUCUUACUUUCAUUUCCCCCCUUGCUUUUCUUUUAAAUUUGUAAUAGCAUAUUUUUCUCAAUAAUUGAUUGCAAUGAAGUCUAAUAUUGUUCUUUUUUCUAGAAAGAAAAAUGAACCAUAAGUUGGGUGAUGUUCUCAUGCUUCCUGCUUUGAACCAGACAUUGUAAAUUGGUUGGAUUUUGGACCAGUAUUAUAAACCAGUGAAUUUAAUUUGUUCAGCUUUCACCUUUGCUUGGAUUAAUACAUUAAGUAUUUGAAUGUAGGCAUAUCAUAUUUGGAGAAGGAAGAGGUUCGUGUGCUCCUUCGACAGGAUCCUAAUUUCUGGAUGUAUAGACCAUUGUCCAACAUGAUGAUCCGUGCGGCUUCAGAUGAUGUUCGAUUUCUUCUUUAUAUCUAUCAUAAAAUGAUGAAGAAACUAAACCCAAGAUCCUUAUGGUACCUAGCAGUUCGCAGUGCUCUGCAUUGCCGAUGUUUCUGCAUCAAUGACAAUGAUUUUGCUGAUUGGCCAUCUGUCCCUCCCAUUCCAGAUAACCUUAUAGCG